UACGUAGGGGGGCAAGCGUUGUCCGGAUUUAUUGGGCGUAAAGAGCGUGUAGGCGGCCAGGUAGGUGGGUUGUGAAAACUGGAGGCUCAACCUCGAGACGUCGAUGGAAACCAUCUGGCUAGAGUCCGGAAGAGGAGAGUGGAAUUCCUGGUGUAGCGGUGAAAUGCGCAGAUAUCAGGAAGAACACCCGUGGCGAAGGCGGCUCUCUGGGACGGUACUGACGCUGAGACGCGAAAAGCGUGGGGAGCGAACAGG
rnacentral:rRNA from 1 species